GAUGAAGAACGCAGCGAAAUGCGAUAAGUAAUGCGAAUUGCAGAAUCCGUGAGUCAUCGAAUCUUUGAACGCACAUUGCGCCCCUUGGUUAUUCCGAAGGGCAUGCCUGUUCGAGCGUCAUUAUCACCCCUCAAGCCCUGGCUUGGUGUUGGACUUUAGUUAUAGCUUUGCCUAUCAACUGGUCUCAAAGAUAGUGACGGCGCCCCAGAGGGAUCCGGGUACGAGGAGCUUUUUACUAAGCAUGUAUCUGGGACGACUCUGAUGGGCGACGGUCUUGUUAUACUUUUUACCUAAGUGUUGACCUCGGAUCAGGUAGGAAUACCCGCUGAACUUAAGCAUAUCAAUAAGCGGAGGA
rnacentral:misc_RNA from 1 species